AAUAAACUUGUGGAGAUAGGGAUGCAGAACCCCAGACCCUGGGUUCAGCCGAGCGAAGCGAGACAACGUUGCCCGGCGAAGCCGAGCAGGCAACGGCCCGAAGGGCAAGGGAGCUUGCGACCGAGUAAAUCCCUAUCUCUCCGCCA
rnacentral:sRNA from 1 species